rnacentral:rRNA from 1 species
GACGAACGCUGGCGGCGUGCUUAACACAUGCAAGUCGAACGGUAAGGCCCUUCGGGGUACACGAGUGGCGAACGGGUGAGUAACACGUGGGUGAUCUGCCCUGCACUUCGGGAUAAGCCUGGGAAACUGGGUCUAAUACCGGAUAGGACCACUGCCUGCAUGGGUGGUGGUGGAAAGCUUUUGCGGUGUGGGAUGGGCCCGCGGCCUAUCAGCUGGUUGGUGGGGUGAUGGCCUACCAAGGCGACGACGGGUAGCCGGCCUGAGAGGGGGACCGGCCACACUGGGACUGAGAUACGGCCCAGACUCCUACGGGAGGCAGCAGUGGGGAAUAUUGCACAAUGGGCGCAAGCCUGAUGCAGCGACGCCGCGUGAGGGAUGACGGCCUUCGGGUUGUAAACCUCUUUCAGCACCGACGAAGCGCAAGUGACGGUAGUAGCAGAAGAAGGACCGGCCAACUACGUGCCAGCAGCCGCGGUAA